rnacentral:rRNA from 1 species
AGUGAACGCUGGCGGUAGGCCUAACACAUGCAAGUCGAACGGCAGCACAGUAAGAGCUUGCUCUUACGGGUGGCGAGUGGCGGACGGGUGAGGAAUACAUCGGAAUCUACUUUUUCGUGGGGGAUAACGUAGGGAAACUUACGCUAAUACCGCAUACGACCUACGGGUGAAAGCAGGGGAUCUUCGGACCUUGCGCGAUUGAAUGAGCCGAUGUCGGAUUAGCUAGUUGGCGGGGUAAAGGCCCACCAAGGCGACGAUCCGUAGCUGGUCUGAGAGGAUGAUCAGCCACACUGGAACUGAGAAACGGUCCAGACUCCUACGGGAGGCAGCAGUGGGGAAUAUUGGACAAUGGGCGCAAGCCUGAUCCAGCCAUACCGCGUGGGUGAAGAAGGCCUUCGGGUUGUAAAGCCCUUUUGCUGGGAAAGAAAAGCAGCAGGUUAAUACCCCGCUGUUCUGACGGUACCCAAAGAAUAAGCACCGGCUAACUUCGUG